rnacentral:lncRNA from 8 species
GCAACCGAAAUGAAUAAUUAAUGAAUGUGUGUUAUAUUAAACAUAGAGGAGGGAGUAAAAUGUAGGCAAGCAAUAAACAUUUCAGAACAACUACUAGUCGAAUAAGAGAUGGGAGAGAUGAUGAAUUUUGGCAAAGAUAUUUAUUUAUAGACCAAUACACUGAAACAAAUAUCCAAACCGAAAACUGCAGACAUUACUAGUGCCUCCCCCGCAAUCAAACCGACGUAAAAUAUUAAAUGAAACGCAGCCUGACGUGAUCAUAAAUCUCAACUAGCAAGCAAGUCGCAGCAAUGAAUAGAGUGCCUGCGCGUCCAAGCAAGUCGCAGCGCGUUCACGCGAAGGGGGGGCUUUUCGGUACAACCCCGGACCAUACCAUCUUACCACCGGACCAUACCACCUUACCACCGGACCAUACCACCAUACCACCGGACCAUACCAUCUUACCACCGGACCAUACCACCUUACCACCGGACCAUACCACCAUACCACCGGACCAUACCACCUUACCACCGGACCAUACCACCUUACCACCGGACCAUACCACCUUACCACCGGACCACCACCACCGGACCAUACCACCUUACCACCGGACCAUACCACCUUACCACCGGACCAUACCACCUUACCACUGGACCUUACCACCGGACCAUACCACCUUGCCACCGGACCAUACCACCUUACCACCGGACCAUACCACCUUACCACCAGACCACACCACCGGACCAUACCACCUUACCACCGGACCAUACCACCUUACCACCGGACCAUACCACCUUACCACCGGACCACACCACCGGACCAUACCACCUUACCACCGGACCACACCACCGGACCAUACCACCUUACCACCGGACCAUACCACCUUACCACCGGACCACACCACCGGACCAUACCACCUUACCACCGGACCACACCACCGGACCAUACCACCUUACCACCGGACCAUACCACCUUACAACCGGACCAUACCACCUUACCACCGGACCACACCACCGGACCAUACCACCUUACCACCGGACCAUACCACCUUACCACCGGACCAUACCACCUUACCACCGGACCAUACCACCUUACCACCGGACCAUACCACCUUACGUUCACCCUUGAUUGCUGUUCCUAUCUCUUCACUUAUGAUAGAGCGGCCGAGGUUUGAAGACUGA